rnacentral:rRNA from 1 species
AUUGAACGCUGGCGGAAUGCUUUACACAUGCAAGUCGAACGGCAGCACGGACUUCGGUCUGGUGGCGAGUGGCGAACGGGUGAGUAAUGUAUCGGAACGUGCCCAGUCGUGGGGGAUAACGUAGUGAAAAUUACGCUAAUACCGCAUACGAUCUAUGGAUGAAAGCGGGGGAUCGCAAGACCUCGCGCGAUUGGAGCGGCCGAUAUCAGAUUAGGUAGUUGGUGGGGUAAAGGCCCACCAAGCCAACGAUCUGUAGCUGGUCUGAGCGGACGACCAGCAACACGGGAACUGAGACGCGGUCCAGACUCCGACGGGAGGCAUCAGUGGGGAAUUUUGGACAAUGGGCGAAAGCCUGAUCCAGCCAUUCCGCGUGCAGGAUGAAGGCCCUCGGGUUGUAAACUGCUUUUGUACAGAACGAAAAGGUUUCCACUAAUACUAGGAGCUCAUGACGGUACUGUAAGAAUAAGCACCGGCUAACUACGUGCCAGCCGCCGCCGUAA